CGGGCGCGGACCGAGGCUCGCCGGCCUCCUGGUACCGGCCCGCCGUUCCUCCUGGGGAGAAGCGGGUCCCGCGGAGGGGAGCGCCGGGGGGCUCCUCGUCCCCCCGUCCCCGGCGGCAGGGAUGGAAGAGAGGCACAGUCCCCCCGUGCCGUCCUUUCUUCCCGACCCCGGGCUGCCUUUGCUGCCGGCAGCGGGAGGCGGUCGGGCUGGCGACGGGGGCCGCUCGGCUGAUUCCUGGCUUGCUCCUGUCCUGUGGCGGAGGUGGCUGGCGGCUGUCGAGGCUGAUCCAUCGGGCUGGGUUUGUGAUGCUCGGUCUUCCCGGCUCUCCCUCUCCCCGAGUCCUGUGUCUGCACAGCGCAGUAUGGAGGCUUGUGUUUCAAAUUUCUUCUUCUUUGCCUGAUCUGAAGGUCCUUUAUAGCUUUAAUUUUGAAAUAAUUAAGAGAUGUCUUUUGUAUUGAUCUAUUUACUGGCUUCUGUUCGUUGGCAACUAACGCAUCAAGUUAACUAUUCUUGAUAGGCAAUGUAUUUCUGGCAGAUUUUUUUUCAUUGGAAAAGACUUGGGGGGGGGGGGACACGGGACGGACACACGCGUAAAAUAACUCUUCCGUGACUACGUAUCUCUUCAUUUCAGUGGCAAAAUAUGUACCUAUACAAAUAAAUGACAAAUCCUUUACUUCUUAAAAAGAUGUUUAAGAGAUUGUUUUGGAUGUGACUUACUAAAAUUUGUUGACGUAAAUAUAUUUCACAGCACGAUAAUAACUAUAGUUAUUAGUUCUAAUGUAUUUCAGAACAUUCUCCUGGGGAUGUAAGUUAUCUGCAAAGUUAUUUCACUUCUGAUUAUUAUCAGCAGAAUAAGGCUCAGCUUUAUAAAAACAAACACUGAGUAACGUAUUUGUCAUAGUUCAGUUUGUAGGUUGUCAUAAGAUGACAAAAAGCAUAACACUGUCCAGAUCAAGGAGAGCAAUAUACAGAGAUGAGCGUAUUUUUUCAGAUUAUAAGUUUUUCAGGAUGGUUUUGUUUCAUAUUAUACAUCGACCUUUAUAAGUUUUACUUUGAUUUGGCUGGAAGUUCACUUUGCAAGCAGAGUUGAAGUUUGAGAUCGGUUCUUACUAUGUAAAGAGCUGCAUGAGUAUAGCUUGAAGUAUUUCAGGAGGGUACCCUGCCAGUGUUGAUACAGUAUGGAAAUCGUAUGUCAGAAGAUAGCUGAAUUUAACACUGCUGGAAAAUACUGCUUGUUUUAACUAAGGAAAGAAUAAAGGAGGAAGGAUCACUAAACUGUAA